AGGUAAGCUACUAAGAGCGAAUGGUGGAUGCCUUGACUGGUAAAGGCGAUGAAGGACGUACUAGACUGCGAUAAGCUACGGGGAGCUGUCAAGAAGCUUUGAUCCGUAGAUUUCCGAAUGGGGCAACCCAAUGUAUAGAGAUAUACAUUACCUAUAUAGGAGCGAACGAGGGGAAUUGAAACAUCUUAGUACCCUCAGGAAAAGAAAUCAAUAGAGAUUGCGUCAGUAGCGGCGAGCGAAAGCGCAAGAGGGCAAACCCAGUGCUUGCACUGGGGGUUGUAGGACUGCAAUGUGCAAGAGGUGAGUUUAGCAGAACAUUCUGGAAAGUAUAGCCAUAGAGGGUGAUAGUCCCGUAUGCGAAAAACAAACCUUAGCUAGCAGUAUCCUGAGUAGGGCGGGACACGAGAAAUCCUGUCUGAAGCUGGGUCGACCACGAUCCAACCCUAAAUACUAAUACCAGAUCGAUAGUGCACAAGUACCGUGAGGGAAAGGUGAAAAGAACUGAGGUGAUCAGAGUGAAAUAGAACCUGAAACCAUUUGCUUACAAUCAUUCAGAGCCCUAUGUAGCAAUACAGGGUGAUGGACUGCCUUUUGCAUAAUGAGCCUGCGAGUUGUGGUGUCUGGCAAGGUUAAGCAAACGCGAAGCCGUAGCGAAAGCGAGUCUGAAUAGGGCGCUUAGUCAGAUGCUGCAGACCCGAAACGAAGUGAUCUAUCCAUGAGCAAGUUGAAGCUAGUGUAAGAACUAGUGGAGGACUGAACCCAUAGGCGUUGAAAAGCCCCGGGAUGACUUGUGGAUAGGGGUGAAAGGCCAAUCAAACUUCGUGAUAGCUGGUUCUCUCCGAAAUAUAUUUAGGUAUAGCGUUGUGUCGUAAUAUAAGGGGGUAGAGCACUGAAUGGGCUAGGGCAUACACCAAUGUACCAAACCCUAUCAAACUCCGAAUACCUUAUAUGUAAUCACAGCAGUCAGGCGGCGAGUGAUAAAAUCCGUCGUCAAGAGGGAAACAACCCAGACUACCAGCUAAGGUCCCUAAAUCUUACUUAAGUGGAAAACGAUGUGAAGUUACUUAAACAACCAGGAGGUUGGCUUAGAAGCAGCCAUCCUUUAAAGAAAGCGUAAUAGCUCACUGGUCUAGUGAUUUUGCGCGGAAAAUAUAACGGGGCUAAAGUAAGUACCGAAGCUGUAGACUUAGUUUACUAAGUGGUAGGAGAGCGUUCUAUUUGCGUCGAAGGUAUACCGGUAAGGAGUGCUGGAGCGAAUAGAAGUGAGCAUGCAGGCAUGAGUAGCGAUAAUUAAUGUGAGAAUCAUUAACGCCGUAAACCCAAGGUUUCCUACGCGAUGCUCGUCAUCGUAGGGUUAGUCGGGUCCUAAGUCGAGUCCGAAAGGGGUAGACGAUGGCAAAUUGGUUAAUAUUCCAAUACCAACAUUAGUGUGCGAUGGAAGGACGCUUAGGGCUAAGGGGGCUAGCGGAUGGAAGUGCUAGUCUAAGGUCGUAGGAGGUUAUACAGGCAAAUCCGUAUAACAAUACUCCGAGAACUGAAAGGCUUUUUGAAGUCUUCGGAUGGAUAGAAGAACCCCUGAUGCC
rnacentral:rRNA from 1 species